rnacentral:rRNA from 1 species
UCCUACGGGAGGCAGCAGUGGGGAAUAUUGCACAAUGGGCGCAAGCCUGAUGCAGCGACGCCGCGUGAGGGAUGACGGCCUUCGGGUUGUAAACCUCUGUUAGCAUCGAAGAAGCGAAAGUGACGGUAGGUGCAGAGAAAGCGCCGGCUAACUACGUGCCAGCAGCCGCGGUAAUACGUAGGGCGCGAGCGUUGUCCGGAAUUAUUGGGCGUAAAGAGCUUGUAGGCGGUUGGUCGCGUCUGCUGUGAAAGGCUGGGGCUUAACCCUGGUUUUGCAGUGGGUACGGGCUAACUAGAGUGCAGUAGGGGAGACUGGAAUUCCUGGUGUAGCGGUGGAAUGCGCAGAUAUCAGGAGGAACACCGAUGGCGAAGGCAGGUCUCUGGGCUGUAACUGACGCUGAGAAGCGAAAGCAUGGGGAGCGAACAGGAUUAGAUACCCUGGUAGUCC